rnacentral:rRNA from 1 species
UGAGGAAUUUUGCGCAAUGGCCGCAAGGCUGACGCAGCAACGCCGCGUGGGUGAAGAAGGCCUUCGGGUCGUAAAGCCCUGUCAGGUGGGAAGAAAGGUUUCGUCAAGAAACGGAUGGAAUUUGACGGUACCACCAGAGGAAGCACCGGCUAACUCCGUGCCAGCAGCCGCGGUAAUACGGAGGGUGCGAGCGUUAUUCGGAAUUAUUGGGCGUAAAGCGCGUGUAGGCGGGGAUACAAGUCUGAUGUGAAAGCCCUGGGCUUAACCCGGGAAGUGCAUUGGAAACUGUAUUUCUUGAGUACUGGAGAGGAAGGGGGAAUUCCCGGUGUAGAGGUGAAAUUCGUAGAGAUCGGGAGGAAUACCAGUGGCGUAGGCGCCUUUCUGGACGGUUACUGACGCUGAGACGCGAAAGCGUGGGGAGCAAACAGG